CGGGGGGUGGCGCAGUUCGGAUUAGCGCACUUGAAUGGGGUUCAAGGGGUCGCGGGUUCAAGUCCCGCCCUCCCGA
rnacentral:tRNA from 1 species